rnacentral:lncRNA from 1 species
ACUUGACUUUAGCAAUUAGUGAAAAGAUUUCAUCAUAAUCAAUGCUCUCACAGUGAUUAUAUAACCUUUUGCCACUAACCUCGCCUUGCAGGUUUGCACAUUGUCAUUAGCAUCAAAUGGAUAUUACCCCAGAUGAUGACUCAGUUAAGGUCUAACCAAUCCAUUUUAGAUUUUAUGGCUUUUUGCCACUUCUAAGAAUAUAUUAUCAUCAUGGAACCUAUGACUAUCAUAGUUUUGCAUAAGUUCUAAGUUCAGCACCAAUUCCAAAUUCUUUAUCAUCUUGAUCCUAGAUCAAUAGAUACAUUCUUUAGUUGGUUUACGUUCUUUAGAACUUAUACGACGUUGCAUUUGUGCAGGCUCUUCGUUAUUCUGAACUUGAAGAACUUGAGGAAGUUGAUCCGCUAUAUCAUGAUGAAGGAUCUUCGACAUCCAAUGUCAUAUCUCCCCCCGUAUUGAAGAAUAUUGCAUUUCUGCAAAAAUCUUCAAUACUGCUCUUAUUGGAUGUGUCUGACGCUCUAAGUAGUGCAUCAGUACCAAUAAGAUCAUGAACAGCUCCCACUAAAUCCUUGUUUAGACCAUCUAACAAGUUUUCUUCCUCAAUGUUGACUUUGUGGUUCUCAAAUCUUGUCAAGAUCUAAGUCAUAACGAUCUUGUUCUCUAUAGACCAAGUCUUUUCAAGAAACAUCGCAAUCCUAAAACUGAGAACUUAUAUUUUCCAAGAAAAUAGUAGUAUUCUCGUGUUUUCUUCGGAUAUCCCACAAAGUAACACUUCUCACUUUUGAUUCCAACUAAUCAGUGAGCAUUUUCUCUACAUAUGUAGUGUAACCCAAGGUUCACAUAUGUGUAAAACUAUGCU